GCUGGCGGCAGGCCUAACACAUGCAAGUCGAGCGCAGUCCUUCGGGACCGAGCGGCGGACGGGUUAGUAACGCGUGGGAACAUACCCUUUUCUACGGAAUAGCCUCGGGAAACUGAGAGUAAUACCGUAUAAGCCCUUCGGGGGAAAGAUUUAUCGGGAAAGGAUUGGCCCGCGUUAGAUUAGAUAGUUGGUGGGGUAAUGGCCUACCAAGUCUACGAUCUAUAGCUGGUUUUAGAGGAUGAUCAGCAACACUGGGACUGAGACACGGCCCAGACUCCUACGGGAGGCAGCAGUGGGGAAUCUUAGACAAUGGGCGCAAGCCUGAUCUAGCCAUGCCGCGUGUGUGAUGAAGGUCUUAGGAUCGUAAAGCACUUUCGCCAGGGAUGAUAAUGACAGUACCUGGUAAAGAAACCCCGGCUAACUCCGUGCCAGCAGCCGCGGUAAUACGGAGGGGGUUAGCGUUGUUCGGAAUUACUGGGCGUAAAGCGUACGUAGGCGGAUCAGAAAGUAGGGGGUGAAAUCCCAGGGCUCAACCCUGGAACUGCCUCCUAAACUCCUGGUCUUGAGUUCGAGAGAGGUGAGUGGAAUUCCAAGUGUAGAGGUGAAAUUCGUAGAUAUUUGGAGGAACACCAGUGGCGAAGGCGGCUCACUGGCUCGAUACUGACGCUGAGGUACGAAAGUGUGGGGAGCAAACAGGAUUAGAUACCCUGGUAGUCCACACCGUAAACGAUGAAUGCCAGUCGUCGGGCAGUAUACUGUUCGGUGACACACCUAACGGAUUAAGCAUCCG
rnacentral:rRNA from 1 species